rnacentral:rRNA from 1 species
GCCAGACUCCUACGGGAGGCAGCAGUGGGGAAUAUUGCACAAUGGGGGGAACCCUGAUGCAGCGACGCCGCGUGAGUGAAGAAGUAUUUCGGUAUGUAAAGCUCUCUCAGCAGGGAAGAAAAUGACGGUACCUGACUAAGAAGCCCCGGCUAACUACGUGCCAGCAGCCGCGGUAAUACGUAGGGGGCAAGCGUUAUCCGGAUUUACUGGGUGUAAAGGGAGCGCAGACGGCUGUGCAAGUCUGGAGUGAAAGGCGGGGGCCCAACCCCCGGACUGCUCUGGAAACUGUAAAGCUGGAGUGCAGGAGAGGUAAGCGGAAUUCCUAGUGUAGCGGUGAAAUGCGUAGAUAUUAGGAGGAACACCAGUGGCGAAGGCGGCCUACUGGACUGCAACUGACGUUGAGGCUCGAAAGCGUGGGGAGCAAACAGGAUUAGAUACCCUAGUA